rnacentral:rRNA from 1 species
AGAGCGAACGCUGGCGGCAGGCUUAACACAUGCAAGUCGAGCGGAAAGGCCCUUCGGGGUACUCGAGCGGCGAACGGGUGAGUAACACGUGAGUAACCUGCCCCUAGCUCUGGGAUAGCUCCGGGAAACCGGGAUUAAUACCAGAUACGACCACUUUAGACAUCUGUCGUGGUGGAAAGGAUUCCGGCUAGGGAUGGGCUCGCGGCCUAUCAGCUUGUUGGUGGGGUAACGGCCUACCAAGGCGACGACGGGUAGCCGGCCUGAGAGGGCGACCGGCCACACUGGGACUGAGACACGGCCCAGACUCCUACGGGAGGCAGCAGUGGGGAAUAUUGCGCAAUGGGCGAAAGCCUGACGCAGCGACGCCGCGUGGGGGAUGAAGGCCUUCGGGUUGUAAACCCCUUUCAGCAGGGACGAAGCGAAAGUGACGGUACCUGCAGAAGAAGCGCCGGCUAACUACGCGCCAGCAGCCGC